rnacentral:rRNA from 1 species
UACGUAGGGGGCAAGCGUUGUCCGGAAUCAUUGGGCGUAAAGAGCGUGUAGGCGGCCAGAUAAGUCCGCUGUGAAAACUCGAGGCUUAACCUCGAGAUGUCAUCGGAAACCAUUUGGCUAGAGUCCGGAAGAGGAGAGUGGAAUUCCUGGUGUAGCGGUGAAAUGCGCAGAUAUCAGGAAGAACACCAAUGGCGAAAGCAGCUCUCUGGGACGGUACUGACGCUGAGACGCGAAAGCGUGGGGAGCAAACAGG